rnacentral:rRNA from 1 species
UACGGGGGGGGCAAGCGUUGUUCGGAAUUACUGGGCGUAAAGGGCUCGUAGGCGGCCAACUAAGUCGGAUGUGAAAUCCCCAGGCUUAACCUGGGAACUGCGUCGGAUACUGGAUGGCUUGAGAUUGGGAGAGGGAUGCGGAAUUCCAGGUGUAGCGGUGAAAUGCGUAGAUAUUGGGAGGAACACCAGUGGCGAAGGCGGCUCACUAGACCGGUACUGACGCUGAUGCGCGAAAGCGUGGGGAGCAAACAGGG